UUUUUUGAUGAUCUAUGAAACUGUCUAAAAAGGGGUAAUUUUAAAAGUUGUUCAAUGGGUAAAAAAAUACCCAUGUUCAAAAUUAGAAAGAAGUUUAAAAAUGUGCAUUUUUUUACCCAUUAAUGGGUGAAAAAAUAGUUGCGAAUAUUUUCAAAUUGUUUUUCUGUUUUCUCCCGGUUGAAAAAUUCAAUCAAUGAGCCCUCGUAUGGACGUCAUCGAAAGUAUGGAGUUCCAGAGGAAAAUAGUUCCUUCCAGGCUGUCUCAGGUUUUUGCCAGCCUGAACCAAAAUCACAACAGGUUUCCGAUUUCACAACAGGUGUAACAGAACGCGCGACCGGCAGAAAACGCGGAUCAUCGUCCGGAGACAAACCAUCGCAAUCAUGGACAAGAUUAUCACCUGUCAUAAGC